GAUAAUGGCAGGAGGGAGACACCCCAUGAAAAUAACAUACAGCGUUGGAUUUAAGUCGAAUGGCAAAAUCACCGCCUUACAUCUUGAUGUAUUGGUAAAUGCUGGGAUCACUGAAGAUAUAAGCCCUGUGAUACCUUCAAACUUUAUUGGGGCUCUCAAAAAAUAUGAUUGGGGUGCAUUGUCUUUUGAUGUAAAAGUAUGUAAGACGAACCUUACCACCAAAUCAGCUAUGCGUGGCCCGGGGGAG
rnacentral:misc_RNA from 1 species